rnacentral:rRNA from 1 species
AGAGUUUGAUCAUGGCUCAGAAUCAACGCUGGCGGCGUGCCUAACACAUGCAAGUCGAACGAGAAAGUGGAGCAAUCCACGAGUAAAGUGGCGACCGGGUGAGUAACACGUGACUAACCUACCUUCGAGUGGGGGAUAACAUCGGGAAACCGAUGCUAAUACCGCAUAACAUCGCAAGAUCAAAGCAGCAAUGCGCUUGAAGAGGGGGUCGCGGCUGAUUAGCUAGUUGGUAGGGUAAUGGCCUACCAAGGCUUAGAUCGGUAGCCGGCCUGAGAGGGCGCACGGCCACACUGGAACUGAAACACGGUCCAGACUCCUACGGGAGGCAGCAGUGGGGAAUUUUGCGCAAUGGGGGAAACCCUGACGCAGCAACGCCGCGUGGAGGAUGAAGUCCCUUGGGACGUAAACUCCUUUCGACCGGGAAGAUACUGACGGUACCGGAAGAAGAAGCACCGGCUAACUCUGUGCCAGCAGCCGCGGUAAUACAGAGGGUGCGAGCGUUGUUCGGAAUUAUUGGGCGUAAAGGGCGCGUAGGCGGCGCGGUAUGUCACCUGUGAAAUCUCCUGGCUCAACUGGGAGCUUGCAGGCGAAACUGCCGUGCUGGAGUGUGGGAGAGGUGCGUGGAAUUCCUGGUGUAGCGGUGAAAUGCGUAGAUAUCAGGAGGAACACCUGUGGCGAAAGCGGCGUACUGGACCACAACUGACGCUGAGGCGCGAAAGCUAGGGGAGCAAACAGGAUUAGAUACCCUAGUAGUCC